rnacentral:rRNA from 1 species
GACGAACGCUGGCGGCGUGCUUAACACACGCAAGUCGAACGGAAAGGCCUGCUUUCCCUUGUGGAUUGCGGGUACUCGAGUGGCGGACGGGUGAGUAACACGUGAGUGAUCUGCCCCCAACUUGGGUAUAAGCCUGGGAAACUGGGUCUAAUUCCCGAUAGGACUGCAGGGUGGUGCCUGUGGUGGAAAACGAUUUUCUAGUGGUUGGGGAUGAGCUCGCGGCCUAUCAGCUUGUUGGUGGGGUAAUGGCCUACCAAGGCGGCGACGGGUAGCCGGCCUGAGAGGGUGGACGGCCACAUUGGGACUGAGAUACGGCCCAGACUCCUACGGGAGGCAGCAGUGGGGAAUAUUGCACAAUGGGCGGAAGCCUGAUGCAGCGACGCCGCGUGGGGGAUGACGGCCUUCGGGUUGUAAACUCCUUUCGACCGCGAGGAAGCCACCUGGUUGGAAGGGUGGUGACGGUAGUGGUAGAAGAAGCACCGGCUAACUACGUG